rnacentral:rRNA from 1 species
GUCCACGCCGUAAACGAUGUCAACUAGCCGUUGGGAGCCUUGAGCUCUUAGUGGCGCAGCUAACGCAUUAAGUUGACCGCCUGGGGAGUACGGCCGCAAGGUUAAAACUCAAAUGAAUUGACGGGGGCCCGCACAAGCGGUGGAGCAUGUGGUUUAAUUCGAAGCAACGCGAAGAACCUUACCAGGCCUUGACAUCCAAUGAAUCUGCUAGAGAUAGCGGAGUGCCUUCGGGAACAUUGAGACAGGUGCUGCAUGGCUGUCGU